rnacentral:lncRNA from 1 species
AACCAGAUGCUCCGCAGGGCGUAACUUUAUACGACCGCAGAGGUUGAACCCUGAACGGUUGGGGCAAGUAUGGACACAACAUUCAAGCUGGAUUCAGCUCUAAAUUUGGAUUGUGAUUAAAUAGUUGACACAGCAUAGGUUUCUGACACAGAAUGAAUGUGUUCUAAUGAACUUUAAAUUUUUCGGUUCUCUAGAGCAAUUCACUAUGCUGUUGAAUAUUAAUCCUCUCAAAAAAAUGUUUGAAGAAAUUUUUUUUAUUUAUGAAAUUUCAAAUGAGAAAAAU